rfam:Clostridium sticklandii str. DSM 519 chromosome, complete genome.
GCCCAGAUAGCUCAGUCGGUAGAGCAGAGGACUGAAAAUCCUCGUGUCGGUGGUUCGAUUCCGCCUCUGGGCA